ensembl:snRNA U6 U6 spliceosomal RNA
GUGCUUGCUCCAGCAGCACUUAUACUAAAAUUGGAAGGAUACAGAGAAGAUGAGCAGGUCCCUUGUACAAGGAUGACAUGCAUAUUUGUGAACGUUUCAUAUGAAA